rnacentral:misc_RNA from 1 species
GAAAUGCGAUAAGUAGUGUGAAUUGCAGAAUUCAGUGAAUCAUCGAAUCUUUGAACGCACAUUGCGCCCCUUGGUAUUCCAUGGGGCAUGCCUGUUCGAGCGUCAUUUGUACCCUCAAGCUCUGCUUGGUGUUGGGUGUUUGUCCCGUCUCCGCGCGUGGACUCGCCCCAAAGUGAUUGGCAGCCGGCGUACUGGUCCCGGAGCGCAGCACAUGUCGCGCAAACGAGUGCCUUGGUACGGCGGCGUCCAUAAGCCCCUCUCUCACGCUCUUGACCUCGGAACAGGUAGGGAUACCCGCUGAACUUAAGC